rnacentral:rRNA from 1 species
AUUGAACGCUGGCGGCAUGCUUUACACAUGCAAGUCGGACGGCAGCGCGGGCUUCGGCCUGGCGGCGAGUGGCGAACGGGUGAGUAAUGCAUCGGAACGUGCCCAGUAGUGGGGGAUAGCCCGGCGAAAGCCGGAUUAAUACCGCAUACGACCUGAGGGUGAAAGCGGGGGACCGAAAGGCCUCGCGCUAUUGGAGCGGCCGAUGUCGGAUUAGCUAGUUGGUGGGGUAAAGGCUUACCAAGGCGACGAUCCGUAGCUGGCCUGAGAGGACGACCAGCCACACUGGGACUGAGACACGGCCCAGACUCCUACGGGAGGCAGCAGUGGGGAAUUUUGGACAAUGGGGGCAACCCUGAUCCAGCCAUGCCGCGUGCGGGAAGAAGGCCUUCGGGUUGUAAACCGCUUUUGUUCGGGAAGAAAUCCUCUGGGCUAAUACCCCGGGGGGAUGACGGUACCGGAAGAAUAAGCACCGGCUAACUACGUG